rnacentral:rRNA from 1 species
AGCGAACGCUGGCGGCAGGCUUAACACAUGCAAGUCGAGCGGGCAUCCUUGUGGUGUCAGCGGCAGACGGGUGAGUAACGCGUGGGAACGUGCCCUUCGGUUCGGAAUAACUCAGGGAAACUUGAGCUAAUACCGGAUACGUGCGAGAGCAGAAAGGUUUAUCUGCCGAAGGAUCGGCCCGCGUCUGAUUAGCUAGUUGGUGAGGUUAUGGCUCACCAAGGCGACGAUCAGUAGCUGGUCUGAGAGGAUGAUCAGCCACACUGGGACUGAGACACGGCCCAGACUCCUACGGGAGGCAGCAGUGGGGAAUAUUGGACAAUGGGGGCAACCCUGAUCCAGCCAUGCCGCGUGAGUGAUGACAGCCUUAGGGUUGUAAAGCUCUUUUCUCCGGGACGAUAAUGACGGUACCGGAGGAAUAAGCCCCGGCUAACUUCGUG